ACUUGCAAAUUCAACAGUUCCAUGGUGGGAGCUAAGGUUGCUAGUUACACCAAAGUUCAAGUAAAAAAUUCAACGGCUAUAUGCAAACAGCAUUAGUAAACUACGGUCCUCUAGCUGUUGCCAUCACCGCGUUAUCAAUUCUUUCCAACACUACUCGUCCGGUGUGUACAACGAUGUGGCGUGUAAUAACCAAACUAUAAAUCACGCUGUUACCAUUGUCGGCUAUGGUGUGCAAAAUACAACGAUCAACUACUGGGUUGUUCGUAACUCGUGGGGAACUGGCUGGGGACAGAAAGGUUACACUCUGAUGCUGCAAGGUACCAACCUAUGCCAUAUCGAGGAAUAUGUUUACUAUGUUGCAGCUGCCUAAAAUUGCUUGGGUCCUAUUUCUUCAUUCUAAAAAUUUACCACAGUACCAUUUUAUGUAUGACUGUACUCUGAUAUUUUGUACUUUUUAAGCUUGAACUACAUAAGAUAGUUUUUAAAUUUCAUGGUUAUGGCAACGAUUUUUUAAAAAUUUAUGGCUUAUAAUUUCUUGGGAACUAACACACAGUAAUCAUGAUGCAGUAAGAAAUAUUCAUCAAUUCCAAAAGUAAAAUCGUAAAUUUAAUUCACACCGAAUAAAAUUUAUUUUUUAAGACUGAUUUGACAGAGAAGCUAUCAAAAUGUGCUUUAGUAAUCUAUCCCUAUUCUCUAGCGAACGCAUUUUUACUUCUGUAAAUAAAAGAAAAGAAAAAUAAGUUUCCAUUUGCUUGAGUGAUGUUUGUGGGUGAUGUAUUUUUUCCGCAAUAGGAUGGUUUGUUGCAGUUCAAAAUGAAUAAUGCACACAGAAAAUUGGAGGGAAAGAUGGUAGUGAAACAAUCGACUGCUCAGCAGUGUCAAAAGUUCAAAACGUUUGAAAAUAUCAAAAUAGAUUUAAAA